UGGGGAAUAUUGCACAAUGGGCGCAAGCCUGAUGCAGCCAUGCCGCGUGUGUGAAGAAGGCCUUCGGGUUGUAAAGCACUUUCAGUCGUGAGGAAGGUGGUAGUGUUAAUAGCACUAUCAUUUGACGUUAGCGACAGAAGAAGCACCGGCUAAUCCCGUG
rnacentral:rRNA from 1 species